CUACUUAAAAUAGUACUGACAAAUAUAUCACUAUUGUUUAUAUUAAAAGCCCCAACCCAGUCGAGCUGUACUCCUAUAUUAAAAAUAUAGCUAAACAAACUAAAUAUUUUUUAAAUUUGUAAUGAUCAAUCUUAAUAAUUAUACUAAUAGUAUAUAGACUAAACCACAAUUCCAAAUUUGUUGCUUCACAGACAAACUAUGCGGCCACCACUACCAACAUUUAACAAAAAAAAAAUAUCAAACAACCAUUUAAAACAUUAGUUAUAUCUUGCAUUUAAAAUCAGUAGGGUC
rnacentral:lncRNA from 1 species